UAAAUGUUAAAAAAAAAAUUGUUUUAAAGGUUCUUCUUUCUAACUUAACCCCUCUGAUGUCUUAAGUUCUUAAUUACAAAAUCACUUUGCUUGAAAAUCUCCCACGAUUUUCCAUUACCCCUGUUAGUCCGGUCACAUGUGAGGUCUAAUAUCUGCCUCGUAGUAGGUGUCUGUUCCACCCGUAACCAACUACCCCAGGACUCGAGUGGCAUAAAACCACCAUUUUUAUGUUCCAGAUUUUGUGGGUCAGGAAUUUGGAUAGGGCACAGAGGCAGUGGCUUGUCUGUCAUCCCCAGUGCCUGGGCUCUCAGCCGAGAAGACUCCAAAGCUGGAGGUGACUUGAUGAUGGGGUGUUCUGGCACUGCCUCUCCUUGUGUUUGGUGGCCUUUGCUGACCCUGAAGACCUCCUCUGUGAUGUCAUCUGGAGCCCCUACACAUGGCUUCUGUGUGUGGUGGUGCAUCCACCUGGACUAGUUGGGAAAUCCUCGGAGCAUGGUGGCAGGCCCCAAGAGUGAGGGUCACAAGAGAGCCAGGCCUUUUUAGGAUCUAGCUUCGGAAGUUGCAUAGCACCUGUAAUGCCCUGUGAGUGGAAGGAGUCACAAAGCUCUGCCCAGCUAGGUUCAAGAUGAGGGUCUGUAGACCCCCACCUCUCAAUGAGACGAGUAGCAGAGCCCGUUGUGAGAAGGAUGUAUGGGCUGGGAGGUAUUGUGAUGGCAUUGCCAAAAGUGAUCUCAUUUGAACCAGUUAGUCACCUCACCUCUGUUCUUCAGGCUUAUUCCUGAGCCCGCACUCUGCUUCGUGCUACCUCCGUGCUACAGUUACCCAUGACCCCCUUCUUUGCUGAUCAGAAGUCUAGGCAUCCUUUAGUACCCAGCUCAGUCUGCAGACUGCCAGCAACAGACGUAGAGGGAAAAGCAAAGCUCUUCUCUGUUAUGUUUAAGGAGACAGUGAGCAUACUUCGGCUCAUGGAAACCAUUAUCUGCUAAGCUGAAGUCAUUAAAAUGGUCAACAUUCA